CAGUAGCCGCGGUAAUACGUAGGGCGCAAGCGUUAUCCGGAAUUAUUGGGCGUAAAGAGCUCGUAGGCGGUUUGUCGCGUCUGCCGUGAAAGUCCGGGGCUCAACCCCGGAUCUGCGGUGGGUACGGGCAGACUAGAGUGAUGUAGGGGAGACUGGAAUUCCUGGUGUAGCGGUGAAAUGCGCAGAUAUCAGGAGGAACACCGAUGGCGAAGGCAGGUCUCUGGGCAUUAACUGACGCUGAGGAGCGAAAGCAUGGGGAGCGAACAGGAUUAGAUACCCCAGUAGUCCCUGUAUCUUAUAC
rnacentral:rRNA from 1 species